rnacentral:piRNA from 1 species
UAUAUUGUUCCCACCAGAGAAAAAAGUCUU